rnacentral:lncRNA from 1 species
ACACAUCCAAUGGUAUAGAGCCACGUGACUUUAAAUAAAAUAAAAUAUAUUUUAAAUAUUGUAAAACUUAAAAUCCAUAAAGGUUAAGACUCUAAUAUUUUUUUAUUAGUUUUUUUUUAAUACAAUCGAUAUUUUAUUUUAAUCUAAUCUAAACUACGGAGAGGGAGAUUUAAACUCGGGUGCAGAGUGGAGAGUACAUUUACUUUAGCCAACUUGGCUAAGCCUAUGUCUGUAUUUUCUUAUUAGUUAAGUUUAGGAAUACUCUUAAACCCUAUGAGUAUUAGUAGGGAUUGAUUUGGUUCAGUAACCUAACUGAGAUGCCCACACCAAUGACCAAUCGACUGGCGUCAAAAUGGCCUACCAUCGAACCACAAUAGGUCAGUUACCGAUUGUUUCAGUGUCAAUCAGUUUCAAUUGGUAGCGCUCGGUUUCAGGAUCUAGAGCUUGUCGGUGUGAGAGAGAACAAUGGUCGGUGUAGUUUGGAGCUUGUACUACGAAGAUGAGAGAGAGAUCAAGACAUAUAGAGACAAAGAAGAGGGAGAGAUAUCAAAAAGGAAUAAGAAGGAGAGAGAGAGAGAGAGAGAGAGAGAGAGAGAGAGAGAGAGAGAGAGAGAGAGAUCGAUUUAGAGACAUAGAAGUCGCAGCCACCUAAAUCUUGUUUGUUUUCUC